rnacentral:rRNA from 1 species
UCGAGCGAUCUCGCAAGAGAUAGCGGUAAACGGGUUAGGAACACGUAAAUAAUCUUCCAUAUAUCCUGACAUAGCCCUAUGAGAAUAGGAGUAAUAUCAGAUGGUAUCAAGGAUUGGCAUCUUUCCUUGAUUAAAGUAGGGGACCGCAAGGCCUUACGGUAUAUGAUGAGUUUGCGUAGCAUCAGCUAGUUGGUAGGGUAAUGGCCUACCAAGGCUAAGACGCUUAGCUGGUCUGAGAGGACGAUCAGCAACACUGGGACUGAGACACUGCCCAGACUCCUACGGGAGGCUGCAGUCGAGAAUAUUUAGCAAUGGACGAAAGUCUGACUAUGCGACGCCGCGUGAGGGAUGAAGGUUUUCGGAUCGUAAACCUCUUUUGGCAGGGAAGAAAAUACCGCACCUAAUACGUGCGGGACUGACGGUACCUGCAGAAUAAGCCACGGCUAACUCCGUGCCAGCAGCCGCGGUAAUACGGAGGUGGCAAGCGUUACUCGGAAUUAUUGGGUGUAAAGGGCAAGUAGGCGGUCUAAUAAGUGGGUGGUGAAAUACUCCGGCUCAAUCGGAGAACAGCCUUCCAAACUAUCAGACUUGAGUAUACCAGAGGAAAAGGGAAUUCUAGGUGUAAGGGUGAAAUCUGUAGAUAUCUAGAAGAACACCAGCGGCGAAGGCGCUUUUCUGGGGUAUUACUGACGCUAAAUUG